GCCGCGGUAGUACUGAGGGUCCGAGCGUUAUCCGGAUUUAAUGGGUUUAAAGGGUGCGUAGGCGGACUGGUAAGUCAGGGGUGAAAGACGGUAGCUUAACUAUCGCACUGCCGUUGAUACUAUUGGGCUUGAAUGUACUGGAGGUAGGCGGAAUGUGUCAAGUAGCGGUGAAAUGCAUAGAUAUGACACAGAACACCAAUUGCGAAGGCAGCUUACUACGCUAUUAUUGACGCUGAGGCACGAAAGCGUGGGGAUCAAACAGGAUUAGAUACCCUGGUAGUCCACGCCCUAAACGAUGAAUACUCGAUGUGAGCGAUAUACAGUUGGCGUCAAAGCGAAAGCGUUAAGUAUUCCACCUGGGAAGUACGCCCGCAAGGUUGAAACUCAAAGGAAUUGACGG
rnacentral:rRNA from 1 species